GGGACCUGCGGAGGGAUCAUUACACAACAAAAUAUGAAGGCCUGGCUUCGCGGCCGGCUGAAAUAUUUUUUUCACCCAUGUCUUUUGCGCACUUGUUGUUUCCUGGGCGGGUUCGCCCGCCACCAGGACCAAACCAUAAACCUUUUUUUUAUGCAGUUGCAAUCAGCGUCAGUAAAAACAAUGUAAUUAUUACAACUUUCAACAACGGAUCUCUUGGUUCUGGCAUCGAUGAAGAACGCAGCGAAAUGCGAUACGUAGUGUGAAUUGCAGAAUUCAGUGAAUCAUCGAAUCUUUGAACGCACAUUGCGCCCUUUGGUAUUCCAAAGGGCAUGCCUGUUCGAGCGUCAUUUGUACCUUCAAGCUUUGCUUGGUGUUGGGCGUUUUUUGUCUCCCUCUUUCUGGGAGACUCGCCUUAAAACGAUUGGCAGCCGGCCUACUGGUUUCGGAGCGCAGCACAUAUUUUGCGCUUUGUAUCAGGAGAAAAGGACGGUAAUCCAUCAAGACUCUACAUUUUUAACUUUUGACCUCGGAUCAGGUAGGGAUACCCGCUGAACUUAAGCAUAUCAAAAG
rnacentral:rRNA from 1 species